rnacentral:sRNA from 1 species
GUUGCAAGAAAACUGUACUCUUGGGAUUUGAUGUUGAAGUGGACUCUGCCAAAAUCAGGUUUGGCAAAUAUAUUUCGAGAGAUAUGUGUUGGAAAGUGUGUUAAGAGAGGCGUUUGCUAAAUUGUAUUUGGCUGGUGGAAGGCCUUGCGCUCAAUUCACGAGGCUGAAAUUGAAACUGAAACAGAAACUUAAUUGCAAUUAAAAGGCAAGUCGAGUCGAGUCAAGUCGAGGACCAGAAUCGACUGAACGAGCAGCGAGAGCAACACCUACCAUUAAAUGUAGCACUGCGUUAGACUGUUGCCUGGCAAACGACCUACUUUCAUAAAUACGCACACACUCACACACACAGACACACACACACACACACACUGGCACACCCCAAAAGCCCAAUGAGUGGCCGUUGCCGGAGUUAGAGUCACUACUGUAGCCGGUUCCUGACCCGUUCCGGACGUCAGUCAGCCGGCGAUGUGUUGGCCAAAAGGCUUAAAUUUCCAAACGACAAUUAGAAAAUUUGCAAAUUACACGGGACCGGACCGGUGAGAGGGCGGCGAGCGGAAAUUUUUAAUGAAAAGUGCGCAUGGGAAAGCAAACAGUGGAAAACUUGUCAGGCAACUAGAUGUUGUUGUUACUGCUGCUGGUGCUCUUCUUGCUUUUGUCGUACACCAAGUCCGGACAGCGGAACUGGCCCCAGUCUCAGCGAGCUCGGUGCAUUGUCAGCCGUCGAUUCGAGUUGGCAUUAAAUUAUGGCCCAGCUAAGAGUAUGAGAAAGAGAGAGGGGAGUACAGCGAACGGGUGUUAACUUGGUAAUUUUAUGCCUGAGUUAGCAUUUAAUUUGUGUAAAUGAUUUUGUGGAUUUUAUGCGCGCUAUUAAAAUUCCAAGCCAGAA